UAGUUUUUGGUGUAGGGCACAGUAAAUUUUGAUUUUACAGGUAAUAAUUAAUUUUAUUAAAACUAA
rnacentral:tRNA from 1 species